GCGGGCGUGGUGGAAUUGGUAGACACGCUAGACUUAGGAUCUAGUGUCGCAAGACUUGGGGGUUCGAGUCCCUUCGCCCGUACAA
rnacentral:tRNA from 4 species